UACGUAGGGACCAAGCGUUGUUCGGAUUUACUGGGCGUAAAGGGCGCGUAGGCGGCGUGGUAAGUCAGCUGUGAAAUCUCCGAGCUUAACUCGGAACGGUCAGCUGAUACUGCUGUGCUAGAGUACAGAAAGGGCAAUCGGAAUUCUUGGUGUAGCGGUGAAAUGCGUAGAUAUCAGGAGGAACACCUGAGGCGAAGGCGGGUUGCUAGGCUGAUACUGACGCUGAGUGCGCGAAAGCUAGGGUAGCAAACGGG
rnacentral:rRNA from 1 species